ACGGGUGAGAAUACAUCGUAACGUGCCUAGUACUGGGGGAUAACUACUCGAAAGAGUAGCUAAUACCGCACGAGAUCUACAGAUGAAAGCUUGGGAUCGCAAGACCUUGUGCUACUAGAACGGCUGAUGGCCUAUUAGGUAGUUGGUGGGAUAAAAGCUUACCUGGUGGGGAUCUGUAGCUGGUCGGAAAGGACGAUCAGCCACACUGGGACUGAAACACGGCCCAUACUCCUACGGGAGGCAGCAGUGGGGAAUUUUGGACAAUGGGCGAAAGCCUGAUCCAGCGAUGCCGCGUGCGAGAUGAAGGCCUUCCGGUUGUAAACUGCUUUUGUACGGAACGAAAAUCUUUGGGUUAAUACCCUGGACUCGUGACGGUACCGUAGCAAUAAGCACCGGCUAACUACGUGCCACCAGCCGCGGUAAUACGUAAGGUGCAAGCGUUAAUCGUAAUUACUGGGCGUAAAGCGUGCGCAUGCGGUUUUGUAAGACAGAAGUGAAAUCUCCGGGCUCGGCCUGGGAACUGCCUUUGUGACUGCAAGGCUAGAGUACAGCUGAGGGAGGUGGAAUUCCACGUGUAGCAUUGAAAUGC
rnacentral:rRNA from 1 species